rnacentral:rRNA from 1 species
UACGUAGGGUGCAAGCGUUGUCCGGAAUUAUUGGGCGUAAAGAGCUACGUAGGCGGUCUGUCGCGUCGGCUGUGAAAAACCCGGAGCUCAACUCCGGGCCUGCAGUCGAUACGGGCAGACUGGAGUUCGGCAGGGGAGACUGGAAUUCCUGGUGUAGCGGUGAAAUGCGCAGAUAUCAGGAGGAACACCGGUGGCGGAAGGCGGGUCUCUGGGCCGAUACUGACGCUGAGGAGCGAAAGCGUGGGGAGCGAACAGG